GGGGUUGUGGCUCAGUGGUUAGAGCGCUUGCCUAGCAAGUAUGAGGCACUGGGUUCAGUCCCCAGCACCA
rnacentral:tRNA from 1 species